rnacentral:rRNA from 1 species
AGUCGAGCGAACAGACGAGGAGCUUGCUCCUCUGACGUUAGCGGCGGACGGGUGAGUAACACGUGGGUAACCUACCUAUAAGACUGGGAUAGCUCCGGGAAACCGGGGCUAAUACCGGAUAACACAUGAAACCGCAUGGUUUCAUGAUGAAAGACGGUUUUGCUGUCACUUAUAGAUGGACCCGCGGCGUAUUAGCUAGUUGGUAAGGUAACGGCUUACCAAGGCAACGAUACGUAGCCGACCUGAGAGGGUGAUCGGCCACACUGGAACUGAGACACGGUCCAGACUCCUACGGGAGGCAGCAGUAGGGAAUCUUCCGCAAUGGGCGAAAGCCUGACGGAGCAACGCCGCGUGAGUGAUGAAGGUCUUCGGAUCGUAAAACUCUGUUAUUAGGGAAGAACAAGGAUGUAAGUAACUAUGCACGUCUUGACGGUACCUAAUCAGAAAGCCACGGCUAACUACGUGCCAGCAGCCGCGGUAAUACGUAGGUGGCAAGCGUUAUCCGGAAUUAUUGGGCGUAAAGCGCGCGUAGGCGGUUUUUUAAGUCUGAUGUGAAAGCCCACGGCUCAACCGUGGAGGGUCAUUGGAAACUGAAAAACUUGAGUGCAGAAGAGGAAAGUGGAAUUCCAUGUGUAGCGGUGAAAUGCGCAGAGAUAUGGAGGAACACCAGUGGCGAAGGCGACUUUCUGGUCUGUAACUGACGCUGAUGUGCGAGAGCGUGGGGAUCAAACAGGAUUAGAU